rnacentral:lncRNA from 1 species
CCCUGAUCCUGGUGCAGAAGAGCAAUCCAGUCAGAGGAGCUGCACUGACAUAAAUCUGCUGUAAGCAGGAGCAUCACAGAGCCCUGCAUUGAACAUUUUCCACCUUCCAGAGUGGACUCGUCUCAAGCAGACAAGCCUCAGUGUGCACAGCUGUCCUUCUGAGAUGGAUGUCGCUAUCUGCAGCAGGCAGCUUUGCUGGUUUUUCUUCCCCUUCGCCGUUUCUGCCAAGAGAACUGGAGGGCUGUGGUCGGUGGCACCACCGAGGGACACGUGGACUGACAGUGUGCCAACACAGUGAGCAGAAAGCUGCAGUCCGGGGCUCCAAAAACACGCAAAAGCAGAACUCCUAUAAAACACUGACAGCACUGGGAUCACCAGCACAAGGGAGCAUUCUGUUUGGAUU